rnacentral:rRNA from 1 species
GUGGGGAAUAUUGGACAAUGGGCGAAAGCCUGAUCCAGCCAUGCCGCGUGUGUGAAGAAGGUCUUCGGAUUGUAAAGCACUUUAAGUUGGGAGGAAGGGCAGUAAGUUAAUACCUUGCUGUUUUGACGUUACCGACAGAAUAAGCACCGGCUAACUUCGUGCCAGCAGCCGCGGUAAUACGAAGGGUGCAAGCGUUAAUCGGAAUUACUGGGCGUAAAGCGCGCGUAGGUGGUUUUGUAAGUUGGAGGUGAAAUCCCCGGGCUCAACCCGGGAACUGCCUCCAAAACUGCAUGACUAGAGUACGGUAGAGGGUAGUGGAAUUUCCUGUGUAGCGGUGAAAUGCGUAGAUAUAGGAAGGAACACCAGUGGCGAAGGCGACUACCUGGACUGAUACUGACACUGAGGUGCGAAAGCGUGGGGAGCAAACAGGAUUAGAAACCCUUGUAGUCC